rnacentral:rRNA from 1 species
GAUGAACGCUGGCGGCGUGCCUAAUACAUGCAAGUCGAGCGAAUGGAUUGAGAGCUUGCUCUUAUGAAGUUAGCGGCGGACGGGUGAGUAACACGUGGGUAACCUGCCCAUAAGACUGGGAUAACUCCGGGAAACCGGGUCUAAUACCGGAUAACAUUUUGAACCGCAUGGUUCAAAAUUGAAAGGCGGCUUCGGCUGUCACUUAUGGAUGGACCCGCGUCGCAUUAGGUAGUUGGUGAGGUAACGGCUCACCAAGGCAACGAUGCGUAGCCGACCGGAGGGGGUGAUCGGCCACACUGGGACUGAGACACGGCCCAGACUCCUACGGGAGGCAGCAGUAGGGAAUCUUCCGCAAUGGACGAAAGUCUGACGGAGCAACGCCGCGUGAGUGAUGAAGGCUUUCGGGUCGUAAAACUCUGUUGUUAGGGAAGAACAAGUGCUAGUUGAAUAAGCUGGCACCUUGACGGUACCUAACCAGAAAGCCACGGCUAACUACGUGCCAGCAGCCGCCGUAA